GCAUCGCUGCCCGGUACGUGUGGAAACCAAUAUCCUCGGGGCCUUAUCGAUCUUAAGGGAGCUGUCCCUGACCGGACCCGUGGGUCCGGACAUACGGUGCCCACCUACGUAAAGUAGGUUCCGGGAUCGCGUAUCCCACGGCCAGGGUGGCACCUGA
rnacentral:other from 2 species